AUGGUACUAAGAAAAUAGUAAAAGCUUCUUCUCAAUGUGUAUUCCAGGUAUGGAAGAAUCAAAGCCAACAAUUAUACUGAGGUUCACUGACCUCAUGAAAAUACAUGGAAACAUGAGAACGAAGCUAUAUUGCAAAAAUGUCCAAAGUAACCCUAAGAGUUGGCUCAUGGCACUGUUACAUGGUUUGGAGUUCUCCAGGACUGGGACUGAGGCCAUGGCUUACGGGAAAAUGCUCAUUCCAGAUUGCAAGAGGAGCUAAUCCAAUACUUACAGAAAUCAACAAAUGCUUGCUGAAUGAAUGACCAGAGGGAAAAAUGACAGUACUAAUUAAAAACUGUGGUGACAAUCAUAUGCUGAAUACCUAUUCAAUACCAGGCACCAUGUAGGACACUUGCCAAAUAUUACUGAUCUGCAGUUCACACAAACCUUGCAAAGCAAGUAUUUCUCUGUUUUAUAAGAGAAAUUUCAAGUACAGAGAGGUUAAGCCAUGUUUCCAAAGUCACACAGCACAUAAGGGGAGGAGGCAGGAUUUGAAUCACUGAACCCUAGAUGCACCUUAUUCCAAAUGCCACAGACUUCUUAAUAUAGGCCCCCAAAAGCAUCAAGACAAACACAUAGGGCAGACUGAACAGAACAAGAUAAACAACAAAACCAAACAAGCCCCGAAGUCCCAUUUUUCAGCUCUGUAGUCAAAGUUCCAUAUAAUGGUUUAGACAUAGGAGAAGGAGGUGGCACUUCAUAGAGUAUCAAAUACCACGUUUAUAUACGGGUAGGAAAAUAUUUUCAUUU